rnacentral:ncRNA from 1 species
GGUUGGUUUGAUUCUGGCUAUUUGGUUUGAUUUAACUUUAAUUUAUAUACAAAGUUAUUUUUAAAUAAUUGGUUUGUAGUAAAUAAAUUUGAAUAUUAGGGGAACCUAGAAUUAGUAAUAGUUUUUAGUAUUAACAAAAAUUGUGCCAGCAGUUGCGGUUAAACAAUUGAUGCAAUCAAAUUUUAUUGGUUAUGGUUACUUUUUAUUAAAAUUAAAAGGGGAGAAAAUUAGGUGAAAUUUUUUUUUCUUAUUAAAUUUGGUUUAGAGGGGGGAGGCCAGUAAAUCUAUUAAUAGACUAGGAUUAGAUACCCUAUUAUUAUAGAAUAAAGUUUAAAUACCAGGUUAUUAGUAGAUAAGGUCUUGAAAGUUAAAGAAUUUGGCGGUAUUUUAGUCUUUUCAGAGGAACCUGUUGUGUGAUUGAUAUUCCACGAUAAAUUUUACUUUUUUUAAUUAGUUUGUAUAUCGUCGUUAUUUGAAUAUUCUAUUAGGAGUUAAAUAUUCAAGAUUCUUGUUAGGGGACAAGUCAGAUCAAGAUGCAGCUUAUAAAAAAGAAUUGAUGGGUUACAAUAAUUUUAUUUAUACGGAUUUGUGAUUGAAAAUUGCAUUGAAGGUGGAUUUGAAGGUAAUUAGUUUUAUUUAAUUUUAAUGAUUUAGCUCUAGAGUAUGUACAUAUUGCCCGUCGCUUUCGUUACAAAAUGAAAUAAGUCGUAACAUAGUAGAUUUACUGGAAAGUGAAUCUGGAGCGAC